UUAGAAGUUUAUUAUUUAUUUUUCAAUAUAUUAUGAUUAGUAUUGCUCUCGUAAGUGUUAGGUGAAUUAAAUUUUAUUAACUUAGGAGUUAUAAGGUCAACAUAAAUCAGUAAUAUUGUUAACAAAUAGAAUUAAAUUUUUACCAGAUCAAAAAAUGAAGCUAAUUCGAGGUCACGAUCGAAAUCUCGUUCGAAGUCGCCAAGCGAUGAUCAAAAGACGAAUGGCUCCAGAUCCAGAUCGGUCAGCAAAGAUAGAAAGAGCAAAUCGCACAGUAGAUCACCUGCAAAAGUCAACUCUGACAAAAAUAAUUAGAUUAUUUACUCUGAAUAUAAUGAAGUUUUGUUCCAACGAUUAUUUCUUACAUUUAAAAUGAAAAUUAAUUUCUGCUAUACUACUAUAUUUAAGCAUUUUAUCAAAUUAAGUGACUCUGGUGGAAUACAGUGUAUUUGUUUAAUAAUAUAACAAAUAUUUUGAUCCUAAUUCAUGAGUGUCAAAUUUGUGUGGAAAAAAAAAUUAAACUCAAUAAGUAAUGUAGAUAUAAAUAGCGGUUAGUUUCCGUAGAUGUUACGAAUAAGGUAUUUUAAGUAAUGAUUAGUUUUUCGAAAUUGAUUUGUUUAGCGUGGACCAGAGGUUUUGCAGAUAGAGGCUGGUUUUUGGGUCCAGUUAGUCAGCAUAUUCUACAAUUACUUCUACAUUGUAUCGGCAACUGCCUAUUCCCUUGAAAGGGUUGGCUACAUUUGUCUAACAUAUAAAACAUUUAUUUUGUAUUUACAAUGUAUACAGUUUUCAUUGGUGUUUUACAGAACUAAAUUUACUAUCAUUCUUUUUGUAAUAUAAUUAUUAUACAUA